rnacentral:rRNA from 1 species
CCUACGGGUGGCAGCAGUGGGGAAUAUUGCACAAUGGGGGAAACCCUGAUGCAGCGACGCCGCGUGAGUGAAGAAGUCUUUCGGUAUGUAAAGUUCUAUUAGCAGGGAAGAAAUAGCGACCUUUGGGUCGCCAGACGGUACCUGAUUAAGAAGCCCCGGCUAACUACGUGCCAGCAGCCGCGGUAAUACGUAGGGGGCAAGCGUUAUCCGGAUUUACUGGGUGCAAAGGGGGCGUAGACGGCUGCGCAAGUCUGAAGUGAAAUGCCGGGGCUUAACCCCGGGACUGCUUUGGAAACUGUGCAUCUAGAGUGCAGGAGAGGGAAGUGGGAUUCCUAGUGGAGCGGUGAAAUGCGUAGAUAUUAGGAGGAACACCAGUGGCGAAGGCGGGUUACUGGACUGUAACUGACGUUGAGGCUCGAAAGCGUGGGGAGCAAACAGGAUUAGAUACCCGAGUAGUC